rnacentral:tRNA from 1 species
GCCAGUGUGGUGGAGUGGUUUGAGUGUUGGACUAUAACUCCGGAGACCAGGGUUCAAAUCCCCGCUCAAGCA